rnacentral:rRNA from 1 species
GGUUCCACACGUACCCAUCCCGAACACGACCGUUAAGCCCUCCAGCGCCGAUGGUACUUGGACCGCAGGGUCCUGGGAGAGUAGGACGUUGCCAAGC